GACGAACGCUGGCGGCGUGCCUAAUACAUGCAAGUAGAACGCUGAAGGAGGAGCUUGCUCUGCUGGAUGAGUUGCGAACGGGUGAGUAACGCGUAGGUAACCUGCCUGGUAGCGGGGGAUAACUAUUGGAAACGAUAGCUAAUACCGCAUAACAGCAGAUGUUGCAUGACAUUUGCUGAAAAGGUGCAAUUGCAUCACUACCAGAUGGACCUUCGUUGUAUUAGCUAGUUGGUGGGGUAACGGCUCACCAAGGCGACGAUACAUAGCCGCACUGAGAGGGGGAGUGGCCACACUGGGACUGAGACACGGCCCAGACUCAUACGGGUGGGAGCAGUAGGGAUUCGUCGGCAAGGGGUGGAAGUUUGACCGAGAUACGCCGCGUGCGGGAACAGGGUUUUCGGAUCGUAAAUCUCGGUCGUAAGGGAAGAACGCGUGUUCGCGUGGAAAGUUCACACUGUGACGGUAACUGACAAGAAAGGGACGGCUAACUACGUG
rnacentral:rRNA from 1 species